CCUGCCCCAUUUCCCCUUGAUCCGUUCACUGCACAGUCAAAGGAGCUGCAGAUCAAGAAGCAGUUCCAGGAGACAUGUAAGAUCCAGACACGGCAAUACAAGGCUCUUCGGGCACACUUGCUGGAGACCACACCCAAAGCUCAGCACAAGAGCCUUCUUAAGCGGCUCAAGGAGGAACAGACCCGCAAACUGGCGAUCCUGGCCGAGCAGUAUGACCAGUCCAUUUCAGAGAUGCUCAGCUCACAGGCGGUGAGGCCUGGGGUCUGGGAGGGACACUAUGGAGGUUGGCCUUUGCUUUAAACUUAGUUGUGGCAAAGGAAGGUGGGAUAUGUGAACAGAACUUUUGGAUUUAGGAAACUCCGGUGCUCUUUCACUACUAACAUUUUCCAUAGUGGUUUUGUCUCACAUUCUCCUUAGUGCCCUUAUUAUUUCUCUUACUAUUUCCUAAUAUCUUAAGAAAGUACCCUGCCUGCUCUGCCAAGAACCACCAAAGAAAAUAAUGACUGUGAUAUUUUUUCUGGACUUGAGUUUACUUUGUGUAAACAGGGAGCAGGGGAGCAGAUUACAAUGAGUGUGGCUCUCAGACCAUUUUACUCAGACUUCAGGAAUCUGGAAAAGAAUCUCUUAGGAAAACUGUACACAGCACUGGAGUGGGCUGCUUCAAAUGCACAUUGAGUCUAAAGAGCUAGAGGGCCCCAUUCUCACUCAGGCCCACCUCUCAGAGGUAAUUUUGUAAUGAUUAACUUGUGUAGAGUUUCCAAUGCAUAUUUGGAAGAUUAUAUAGAAAUUUUAAAACACAAUAGAAUCAGACUUUACAUAGUUUUCUGACUUUUUUUUCCACCCAGUAUUUCUUGGACAUCAUUCCAUAUCACAUGUCUAUCUCAGUUUUUUACAGUAUAGGAUUUUCCAUGGAAUAGAUGUACCAUAAUUUAUUUAACCCAUCCCUUAUUGGUGGACAUUUAGGUUGUUUCCAGCAUUUUGCUAUCACAACGCUUCCGUGAACACUUGGAGCACAUGUGCAAGUAUACCUGGGGGAUAGAUUCCUGCAAGUGUAAUUGCUGUGCCACAGGGUAUGACCAUCUUCCAUUCUCAUAGAGGUUGAGACUGCCGCUCCUUGCCACCUUAGGGCCCAGGCCUACUGGGGCAGGGGAGGAUGGUGGGGACAGAGGAGGAGGUCCCUAAACCCUGUUCUCCCUGUCCUCCAGCUCCGGCUUGAUGAGACCCAGGAGGCAGAGUUUCAGGCCCUGCGGCAGCAGCUCCAACAGGAACUGGAGCUCCUUAAUGCUUACCAGAGCAAGAUCAAGAUCCGUACAGAGAGCCAGCAUGAGCGGGAGCUGAGGGAGCUGGAGCAGAGAGUAGCUCUGAGGCGGGCACUGCUAGAGCAACGGGUGGAAGAAGAACUGCUGGCCCUGCAGACAGGGCGUUCGGAACGCAUCCGGAGUUUGCUUGAGCGGCAGGCCCGUGAGAUCGAGGCCUUCGAUGCUGAGAGCAUGAGGCUGGGCUUCUCCAGCAUGGCUCUGGGGGGCAUUCCAGCUGAAGCUGCUGCCCAGGGCUAUCCUGCUCCACCCCCAGCCCCUGCCUGGCCCUCCCGUCCAGUUCCCCGUU
rnacentral:lncRNA from 1 species